rnacentral:rRNA from 1 species
ACUCCUACGGGAGGCAGCAGUGGGGAAUAUUGCACAAUGGGCGCAAGCCUGAUGCAGCCAUGCCGCGUGUAUGAAGAAGGCCUUCGGGUUGUAAAGUACUUUCAGCAGUGAGGAAGGUGGAUAUGUUAAUAGCAUAUUCUAUUUGUACGUUAGCUGCAGAAGAAGCACCGGCUAACUCCGUGCCAGCAGCCGCGGUAAUACGGAGGGUGCGAGCGUUAAUCGGAAUUACUGGGCGUAAAGCGCAUGCAGGUGGUUUGUUAAGUCAGAUGUGAAAGCCCGGGGCUCAACCUCGGAAUUGCAUUUGAAACUGGCAAACUAGAGUACUGUAGAGGGGGUAGAAUUUCAGGUGUAGCGGUGAAAUGCGUAGAGAUCUGAAGGAAUACCGGUGGCGAACGGCGGCCCCCGUGGACAGAUACUGACACUCAGAUGCGAAAGCGUGGGAGCAAACAGGAUUAGAUACCCCGUGUAGGUCAGUC